rnacentral:lncRNA from 1 species
UCCGGCCGGGGCGGCGUCCGCCCCGCUGGGGUCCCCGCGUCCCGAGGAGCGGGGCCAGAAACCCUGGGUGUGGUUUGCUUGAGAGUUUCCGAGUCCCGGGGCAGGACUGGUGGGUCCCGAGCCCCUACGGCAGACCUGGGCCCCCUGGUGGCUGAACCGCGUGGACGCACAGCUGACGCCCCUGGAAGGCGGUCUCGCUCGUCCUCUGGUUUAUAAAGAGGUGCUUGGGAAGCCGUCCUCUCCUUCUUCCCCCACUGCCACCCACCCACCCCCUCGCGAGCGUGGGGAAGAGGCCUGCCGGGUACUGCUCCUUUCCUGUCUUCGGGUCCGACCACGGUCCCGGGAGGAAACACACCCUCUGAUGCUGUGUCCUCUGUUCCCGGAGCCAUGCCACGCCAGCCUGGGCCACAUUCUCUGAAAGCAUCUCUUCCUCAUUACCGGAAUUGGACCCCAGCUUCCUAAGCCUCAGUUGUACCCAGGUACUUUGUGCCAGCGGAAGGGGAACUGUGUGGGUAGGUACACAUGGCAGUUGAUGUUGGGGCCAUGCUUGAGAUGGGAAGAGCUGACCUUGACCUUGGCCCUGACGCUGCUCAGCAGGAGCUGCGUUGUGCUCAGGUCAUUUUCUGCACGGUCCUGCCCUACCCCAGAAACCCACUGUAAUGUACUGUAAUAGAGACAGGGGAGAGGGAUCCCUUGGCCUCACCAGCUGUAUCUCCCACCGCAGUAUAAAGGGGAAAGCUGACAGCCAUCCGUGUUACACACACUUUUGACAAAAAGAUUGAGUGUGUGCAAUGAUUUCAGGUCAUCCCAGCCUCAACGUGGCCUCCCCCUGCACAUUCAGAAUCCUGGUUGCAGCUUGAUGAAGAAGCUCUACGAUUUUAGUCAAUAUUGGUCAAUAGCUACCUUUAUGGCUAUAAUCCCCUGUCCCCCAGCCCUAUGGGGGGCAGCUAUGGGGAUGGUGGCUGUCAUUCCAGCUUGGUAGCAGCUUUAUUCACAAUAGCCAAAAUAUAUAAAUAACUCAGAUGUCCAUCAGUGAACACUUGGGUAAACAAAACGGUCCAUCCGUGCAGUCAAAUAUCAUUCAGCCAUGAAAGGUGGAUGAACAGAUGAAGCUUGAACCUGUCAUGGCCUGGAUGAACCUUAAAAACUGUAUGCUAAAUGAAAAGGCCGCCUGGUGUAUGAGUCCAUAUACAGUACAUGAAAUGUUCAGAAUAAAGAAAUCCACAGAGAAAUCUCAUAGAUGCAAAUUCAUAGAGCAGACUGUUGCCUGAAAACGAGGGUCUGGGAGGAAUGAAACUGAUGGCUAAUGACUGUGGAGGUUUUUUCAGGUAGGAAAAUUCUGGGAUCACAUAGCAAUGAUGUUUGUCCGGUCUCGUGAAUACAGUCAUCCCCUCGGCAUCCUGGUGAAUAGCGAAAUUGGCAGCUGCUCAAAUCCCCUCUAUGCAUGAAAUUUGCAUAUAGCCUGUCUUACUCUUCUGGUUGCUGAGGCAAAAUACCAGACACUCAAAGUGAAAGGAGGAAACGUGUGUUUGGCUCACAGUUUGAAGAGGUUUCAGUCCAUUGCUGGCUCCAAGGCAGGGUGGCAUGGCAGAGGGGCAUCGCAGAGGAGAAGCAGUUUAUGGUGGGCAAAAGUCAGACAGAGCAAGCAACUAGCAACAAGCCGUGUCUGCAGCACUUUUUUACUCAUACCUUCAGUUGGUUGAAUGCACUGAUUCACAUCUAUGGAUAAGGAGGGACGGACG